rnacentral:lncRNA from 1 species
GACUUCUGCACCUCAUCUCUGGGAUGGUUUCAGUGGGUCCUAGAUUGCUUUCUGUGCUCCCUGGGACAGUUGGUGGCACUCUGUGAGACUACUCUGAGGUACCCUUACAAGCUACUCUUAAUUUUCCCCGCUGUUCUGCUUGUUGGACAUGGCAUCAUGCUGCAAUGUUAACAGUCUUUCAAAGCUAAGCGCGGAGGAUGUGAUUCCAUCCCUGGCAGUUCUUAGAUUCCCUUUGGAUUACAGAAGUGAUUUUUAAAGACACUAUUAAUAGAGGUAUUUUAUCUUGGUACAAAAUUAUUUAAAAAAUAGACUUAAACAGAGACUUCCACUUAUGGGUAUAAUAGACUAAGACCCUGUUGGAUGAUUUCUUCACCCUGCAUACAACAACUGUGAGACUGCACGUAAUCAUAUGAUAGUACUGGAGACUGAAGAGAAGAUGACAGGAUCUAAUGGGGGAGUCCAUGCUUGCUUGAAGGAGGAGAGAUAUGGAUCUGGACAACAUGACUAUAGGACAGAGAGGAGACUGAGAAACACAAGAAGCACCAGAGUGGUUGAAAGGAGCUGAAGGUUCAGACAGCAACCUGGACACUAAGGGUCCAAAGCCAAGCCCAAGGUCAAGUAGCUGGACAGAGAAACAGCUGCAAGCACAGACUUGGAUCCUGACCUGAUUUUCUGCAGAAGCAAGUCCCUGUUUAGCCUUCUACUGCCUCCUUUUAGAAUGAAGCCAGACCAGUCCUUUCCAUCAUGGGCUCCUGUGGAAAAUGACCCCAGCUCAGCUCAGUAGUUGAUGGGACAUCUGAUUCAGGUUGGACCCAGCCCAGACAUCUGAUUCAAACAAUAUUCUUCUCCAGGAAUUUUGUAACCAGCACUGGUAAAGGGAGGGAAGUGCUCCCCAGUGGGGAGAGCUGCAGAAUGUGAGACUUGGAAACCAAAGGCCGCCAUGUUUUCUGUCUCAUGAUGGAAUCCAAUCUUCUUUGGCGGGGAAAAUAAAUGAAGCCAACACCAGACAACAUAUAUCAAGCAGGGGCCAUUGCUCCAGCCUGACUCCAGGAAUCAGCAGACAGCGCAGCCUCAUUCUCCACCUGCUCCCUGCAGUACAGCCUCAGAACCACACAGUUGCAGCCAACCAGCUCCUGACAUGGAACUUGAGCAACAAAUGCCCUUUGUUUUUGCAAGUCCCUGAGAUUUGGAAGUUGUUACACAGCAUUCUCUCAGCCAGAAGUGACUGACAUGGUCACUGAGAGGCUGACCCAAGGACAAAAGUUUUUUUUUUCUUUUUUCAAAAAAAACAUGAUCGCACAAAAUUUUCAGUUCGAACAACAAAAUCAGUGGUUGUAAUUUACCAUUUUCAAGGUCACCUAUAGAAGGCUGCAAUAUCUAAAGCCUCUCAGGAAAACAUGAGAACCAGCUGGAAAGGCAUUUUCCCAUGUUCCCACUAUUUUGCUAUGAUAAAUACUGUAUUUGAUUACCUUCUGUUGAAGUUUAUAAAAAGAGAUCAUUCUUUAAUGCUGAGGCCAUUUGCGGAGAGUGAUCCAGUUGGAACCAGUGAUUUCGAGAAUUCCAGACGUGAGAGACUGGAAAGCAAAUCAGAAAAAAGACAAGUGACGAAGUUUUACAGUCAGGAAACAAAAUUCUGAUCUUUUGUUCUUGUUUACUUUCUAUGGCAAUGAAGCAGAAUGCAAAAAUCGGAAAAAAAAAAAAAAAA